rnacentral:miRNA from 1 species
GCGGCGCGUGACAAUCUUGGCACUCCUGAAGUGUAUCAUCGUCGGUGGUGCCUAGGUGUCACGCGCGGC